AUUUCUUUGGGCUGCUCCUGCAGCAUAUGGAGGUUCCCAGGCUAGGGGUCGAAUCGGAGCUGUAGCCACCGGCCUACGCCAGAGCCACAGCAACGCGGGAUCCGAGCCGCGUCUGCAACCUACACCACAGCUCACGGCAACGCCGGAUCGUUAACCCACUGAGCAAGGGCAGGGACCGAACCCGAAACCUCAUGGUUCCUAGUCGGAUUCGUUAACCACUGCGCCACGACGGGAACUCCCCAACUCUUUAAUAUUAAUGAUAUAUUGCUAUUUUUUAAAGUAAGUUAUAUAAUAAGAUAGAUGGUAGACAGAGAAUAUACUAUUUGAAUAAGUAAAUGUUUGUGUAUAUGUGUGCUUAGAAGGGAUCAGGAAGGCUAGGUUACCUCUGGAGAGAGGUGCUGAUGUCUCAUUUUCACUGUAUCCUUUAUAAGCUAUCAUAUCAUUAGAUCAUUAUUCAGUAAGCAAGUAUUAUUUUUAUGACAAAAAGUUGUUAAAAAUAAAAACCAUAUCAUUAUACCUUGGAAUAUUUUGACAGGCUGUCAUAGGUGGCAGGAUAGAAACUUCUUAUUUCCAUUAUUUACAAGUUGCUAAUUUUGAGUUACCUUUUUAGAGGAGGAGAGAAAGACUUGCGGGUGCUUCUGAGAGCUCAGAAGGAUUUUUACAGUUCAGUUGGGGAUUUUAUCUUGUUUUGCCCUAGUUCCAAUUGACCUUUUCUUUAGUCCUUGAUUUCUAAAUAUCUCUUAGUCUAAAAUGAUCUGCUCUUGCAAUCUUUCUAGGCACUCCAGGUUGAGCUCAGUUUCCCAUACAGGACAUCACUUACAGUAAAAGUUACCCAGAGUUUCUGUUUUCUUAUGAAAGCACUGUGGUAUCUGUAGCAUCACUCUGUAUUGUCUUAAAAUGAACUGUGGCCAGGCAAUGGGUGUCAUCUCUUCUAACAGCAAAAGCUUCUAUCUGCAUCACUCAAACAUUCCUGUUUCUACCUUAACUUAAUCUCAAUCUUCAGUACCAACUCUCAAAGAGAAAAUACAAAACACAAAUUUCCCAGGACCAAGAUCCUCCUGGAUUACUCUAGAAUGUGUUAUGGUUUCAGAAAUCAAUUUUAUGACCAUUUGUGGAAGUCAGUCCCCCUGCUCCGUCCAUUUGCAUACCUUCUGCACAUCUUAGGGUGAGGAGAGUGGUCCAGAGCUUAGAGCAGACCAUGUCUGAAACAUGGCUCUCCAUCACAAUGUUGUAUAACCUCGGGCAAGUAACUAAAGCCUUACUGAGCCUCGUUUUUCCCUCUUGCAAAGUGAGGACAAAGAUGAAACUGACCUCACUGGGUCCUGUGAGGAUGAAGUAAAAGGGCAUGUGAAAGCAUUUAGAACAAUGCCUGGCUUUUAGGGGUGCCCAAUAAAGCUUUACCUUCUAAUGCUUCUCCACUAAUUAACUGUCCGCCUAAUACUCUGAAAGGAUUAGUACAAAUCUCCUAGGUGAAUCUUUACUCUCUAAAAAUAAGUAGUUUGAGAUUAACAUAUAAAUGCUA
rnacentral:lncRNA from 1 species